rnacentral:rRNA from 1 species
AACGUAGGGGGCGAGCGUUAUCCGGAAUCACUGGGCGUAAAGGGCGUCUAGGCGGCCUCUUAGGUCCCGUGUGAAAUCUCCCGGCUCAACUGGGAGGGUGCACGGGAAACCGUGAGGCUAGAGACUCGGAGGGGGGUGCGGAAUUCCCGGUGGAGCGGUGAAAUGCGUUGAUAUCGGGAGGAACACCCGAGGCGAAGGCGGCACCCUGGUCGAGGCCUGACGCUGAAGCGCGAAAGCGUGGGGAGCGAACGGG